AAUAACUUAACGAAUCGCAUGGCCUUGUGCCGGCGAUGGUUCAUUCAAAUUUCUGCCCUAUCAACUUUCGAUUGUAGAGUAGUGGUCUACAAUGGUGUUCAACGGGUAACGGGGAAUUAGGGUUCUAUUCCGGAGAGGGAGCCUGAGAAACGGCUACCACAUCCAAGGAAGGCAGCAGGCGCGCAAAUUACCCAAUCCCGACACGGGGAGGUAGUGACAAUAAAUACUGAUACAGGGCUCUUUUGGGUCUUGUAAUUGGAAUGAGUACAAUUUAAAUCCCUUAACGAGGAACAAUUGGAGGGCAAGUCUGGUGCCAGCAGCCGCGGUAAUUCCAGCUCCAAUAGCGUAUAUUAAAGUUGUUGCAGUUAAAAGCUCGUAGUUGAACCUUGGGCCUGGGCUGGCGGUCCGCCUUCAACCGGGUGGCACUUGGUCCCGGGCCGGGGUCUUUCCUUCUGGAGGGAGCCGAUGGCCCUUUCACUUGGGGUUGGUGGUCCGGGGGAAAUCCAAGGGAACUUUUUAACUUUUUGGAAAAAACAUUUAGGAGGUGGUCCACAAGGCAAGGGGCCCUAUUGGUUCCGAAAUUACAUUUAAGGCA
rnacentral:rRNA from 1 species